CCCGGGCGCCGCCCGUCAGCCCUGGAGUGGACCCCGGCGGCCGGGCCGGGCCGGGACCCAGGGCCCGGCCCCUUCCCCCGCAGUGCAACAGCCCCGCAUCCCGAGCCGGGGGGGAGGGAAGGGCUAAAUCCUGAACAGUCCUCAGGAGGGAAGACCCACUGGGAGCUGCCGCUCUGGUUCCUACACGUAGGGGCAGCCGGGGUCUCCCCUGUGCACGCUGCCCCUACCCCCCCGCAGCUCCCAUUGGCCGGGAACCGCAGCCAUUGGGAGCUGCAGAGGCGGUGCCUGCAGACGGGGCAGUGUGCAGAGCCCCCUGGCUGCGCCUCCACGUAGGAGCCGGAGAAGGGACAUGCCGCUGCUUCCGGUAGGCGCUUGAGGUAGUAACAGGCUAUUGGCUCAUUGCCCUAUGGGCCAUCUCUUCCAAGAACUCUCCUGGGGUUCCUGUGUCUUUGAAUAUGCUUAAGGAGCAAGGAGAACAAUGGAGAUGCCUUUUCAUAGAUGUUCAGGCCAGAAGGGACCAUUGCGUCAUUUCGUCUGAUGAUCCCUUCCAGAGAUGAAAGGAUGGCUGUUGGACUUGGGAGGAUCCAGAAUUUUCCAUAGCACUUGUGAAUGAGCUGGGCUCCUUAACAGGAGGCAUGAUAACGUAAUGCCUUUUAGGAGGGCAAAUUAAUUAUAUUACUUAUGAAAACUUAAGUUACAUAGGUAGUCACAAAAUCAAGCAACUUAAAUGCUGAAUGUAGGUUGCACGUGCAACCUCAGCUUGGCUCCCUUAUACCUAUGCAUUAUAAUAAACUUUGGUUACAUGAUCACAUGCUAUUUUUUUUCCACAUGACGUCUGUCUCAUUCAGUGCACAAGAUGGACAUGCUCAUGGAAGGGAAUAAAGCAGCUGUUUGAGAUUUUAUUUUUUAAAUUCAAGUAGUGCCCCCUGCUUACUUC